rnacentral:rRNA from 1 species
GAGUUUGAUCCUGGCUCAGGAUGAACGCUGGCGGCGUGCCUAAUACAUGCAAGUCGAGCGAACAGAUAAGGAGCUUGCUCCUUUGACGUUAGCGGCGGACGGGUGAGUAACACGUGGGUAACCUACCUAUAAGACUGGAAUAACUCCGGGAAACCGGGGCUAAUGCCGGAUAAUAUUUAGAACCGCAUGGUUCUAAAGUGAAAGAUGGUUUUGCUAUCACUUAUAGAUGGACCCGCGCCGUAUUAGCUAGUUGGUGGGGUAAUGGCUUACCAAGGCAACGAUACGUAGCCGACCUGAGAGGGUGAUCGGCCACACUGGAACUGAGACACGGUCCAGACUCCUACGGGGGGCAGCAGUAGGGAAUCUUCCGCAAUGGGCGAAAGCCUGACGGAGCAACGCCGCGUGAGUGAUGAAGGUCUUCGGAUCGUAAAACUCUGUUAUUAGGGAAGAACAAAUGUGUAAGUAACUGUGCACGUCUUGACGGUACCUAAUCAGAAAGCCACGGCUAACUACGUGCCAGCAG